GCAGAACUAUAUGUGCUGCACUAAAACUGGAAUGAUACAGAGAAGAUUAGCAUGGUCCCUGCGCAAGGAUGACACACAAAUUCGUGAAGCAUUCCAUAUUAAA